UUACGGCCAAAUCACAUUGAAACACCCGUUCCUGUACGAUCAUCGAAGUUAAGCAACGUCGAGACUAGUCAGUACCUAGAUGAUGACAGCUUAGGAAUACCAGGUGCUGUAAG